UCCCGGGUGGUUCAGUCAUUAAGACUCUGCACUUCCAAUGCAAGGAUGCAGAGGGUGCAGGUUCAAUCCCUGGUCCGGGAA
rnacentral:tRNA from 1 species